rnacentral:rRNA from 1 species
GAUGAACGCUGGCGGCGUGCCUAAUACAUGCAAGUCGAGCGAACAGACGAGGAGCUUGCUCCUCUGACGUUAGCGGCGGACGGGUGAGUAACACGUGGAUAACCUACCUAUAAGACUGGGAUAACUUCGGGAAACCGGAGCUAAUACCGGAUAAUAUAUUGAACCGCAUGGUUCAAUAGUGAAAGACGGUUUUGCUGUCACUUAUAGAUGGAUCCGCGCCGCAUUAGCUAGUUGGUAAGGUAACGGCUUACCAAGGCAACGAUGCGUAGCCGACCUGCGAGGGUGAUCGGCCACACUGGAACUGAGACACGGUCCAGACUCCUACGGGAGGCAGCAGUAGGGAAUCUUCCGCAAUGGGCGAAAGCCUGACGGAGCAACGCCGCGUGAGUGAUCAAGGUCUUCGGAUCGUAAAACUCUGUUAUUAGGGAAGAACAAAUGUGUAAGUAACUAUGCACGUCUUGACGGUACCUAAUCAGAAAGUCACGGCUAACUACGUG